UAGGGAGUAGGGUAAUAACAUUGGUGCUAGGGAUGGGGUAAUAACAUUGGUGCUAGGGAGUGGGGUAAUAACAUUGGUGCUAGGGAGUGGGGGAAUAACAUUGGUGCUAGGGAGUGGGAUAAUAACAUUGGUGCUAGGGAGUGGGGUAAUAACAGGGCAUUGGUGCUAGGGAGUGGGGUAAUAACAGGGCAUUGGUGCUAGGGAGUGGGGUAAUAACAGGUGAUUGGUGCUAGGGAGUGGGGUAAUAAAGGGCAUUGGUGCUAGGGAGUGGGGUAAUAACAUUGGUGCUAGGGAGUGGGGUAAUAACAUUAGUGCUAGGGAGUGGGGUAAUAACAUUGGUGCUAGGGAGGAGGG
ensembl:lncRNA